AUGCAUGUCGAGUUCAUAUAUAAAUAGAAACUGCGUACGGCUCAUUAGAGCAGAUUUAAAUGAUUCCGGGUAUCCUAUUGGAUAACUGUGGUAAUUCUGGAGCUAAUACAUGCAACAAUGCUCAGUUUCGGCUGAGUGCAGUUAUUAGUACGAACCAAUCGCUUUCGGGCGUAGUUUGUUGACUCUGAAUACCUAGUUUAUCGGCGGUUCAUCCGCUGAAGUCCGGAAUUUUGUGUCUGCCCUAUCAACUAGAUGAUAGUCUAUUGGCCUAUCAUGGUUGUAACGGGUAACGGAGAAUCAGGGUUCGACUCCGGAGAGGGAGCCUUAGAAACGGCUACCACAUCCAAGGAAGGCAGCAGGCGCGUAACUUAUCCACUACUCUUUGUGAGAUAGUGACUGAACAUAAAAAGACUCAUCUUUCUAGAUGGGUU
rnacentral:rRNA from 1 species